rnacentral:rRNA from 1 species
CGGGUGAGUAAUGGAUAAGUAACCUGCCCUUAAGUGGGGGAUAACACUUCGAAAGAAGUGCUAAUACCGCAUGUGGUGCUCUUUCACAAGAAGGAUCACUAAAACCGCAAGGUGCUUGAGGAGGGGCUUGUCUCCGAUUAGCUAGUUGGUGGGGUAACGGCCUACCAAGGCGAUGAUCGGUAGCUGGUCUGAGAGGAUGGUCAGCCACACUGGGACUGAGACACGGCCCAGACUCCUACGGGAGGCAGCAGCAAGGAAUCUUGGGCAAUGGGCGAAAGCCUGACCCAGCGACGCCGCGUGAGGGAUGACGGCCUUCGGGUUGUAAACCUCUUUUCUCAGGGAAGAAUAAUGACGGUACCUGAGGAAUAAGUCUCGGCUAACUACGUGCCAGCAGCCGCGGUAAUACGUAGGAGGCGAGCGUUAUCCGGAUUUAUUGGGCGUAAAGUGGGCGUAGGUGGUCUUUCAAGUCGGAUGUGAAAUCUCCCGGCUCAACUGGGAGGGGUCAUCCGAUACUGUUGGACUUGAGUACAGCAGGGGAAAAUGGAAUUCCCGGUGUAGUGGUGAAAUGCGUAGAUAUCGGGAGGAACACCAGAGGCGAAGGCGAUUUUCCAGGCUGAAACUGACACUGAGGCCCGAAAGCGUGGGGAGCGAACAGGAUUAGAUACCCUGGUAGUCCACGCCUUAACCUCUUGGUCCUAGGUAUAGGG